rnacentral:rRNA from 1 species
UACAGAGGUCUCAAGCGUUGUUCGGAUUCAUUGGGCGUAAAGGGUGUGUAGGUGGCGCCGUAAGUCGGGUGUGAAAUUUCGGAGCUUAACUCCGAAACUGCAUUCGAUACUGCGAUGCUUGAGGACUGGAGAGGAGACUGGAAUUCAUGGUGUAGCAGUGAAAUGCGUAGAGAUCAUGAGGAAGACCAGUGGCGAAGGCGGGUCUCUGGACAGUUCCUGACACUGAGACACGAAGGCCAGGGGAGCAAACGGGG